CCCGCCCGCCCUCAGGGCCGCCUUCCCGCCGCGGUGCUGGUGUCGCCGCUUCGGUUGUGUCUGGUUGUGCUUCGCGCGCGGGCAGCGAAGGGAAUCAUCAUGGCUGACAGACAUGGUGCUUCUCAGCAGGAGCAGAUAACAAAUGGAGGGAGAGCCUGCUUGUUCAAAGAGACAGGUAGGAGGCAGACCUGGAUUCUCUGUGAACAGGGGUGCUUGGAGAGAGAGGAAGCAGAAAAUCUUUGCCUGGCUUAAAACACUGAAAACACUUGGACUGCCGUGGAGGCAAGGGCAAGCUUUACAGAACUCUGGGACUCUGCAGCACUUCUUAGCAAUAAUGCAACUGGUUGAGAAAUUCCUUUACCAAGCAAAGCUGUUUCCGUUGUGCUUAGUACCAUCUCAGAUACCUUGUGAUCAACGCUCACCCACAGGUCAAUUGAUAAAAAUCAGUGAUCCAGAGGUCUGGGUCAAACA
rnacentral:lncRNA from 1 species